rnacentral:rRNA from 1 species
CCCUUCCUACGGGGCGCAGCAGUGGGGGAUAUUGCACAAUGGGGGGAACCCUGAUGCAGCGACGCCGCGUGGGUGAAGAAGCGCCUCGGCGCGUAAAGCCCCGUCAGCAGGGAAGAAAAUGACGGUACCUGAAGAAGAAGCCCCGGCUAACUACGUGCCAGCAGCCGCGGUAAUACGUAGGGGGCAAGCGUUAUCCGGAUUUACUGGGUGUAAAGGGAGCGUAGACGGAUAAGCAAGUCUGAUGUGAAAAUCCGGGGCCCAACCCCGGAAUUGCAUUGGAAACUGCAUAUCUAGAGUGUCGGAGG